GAGAUUUAAUCUCAGCCGUUUAAACUACCAAAAUAACCGCUCUAAUGGCGGUUUCCGGAGGUUAUGGUCGGUUUUUGCAACUGGUGGUUACCUCCGCCUUUUGCUGCUCCACUAUCUCCACGACUCAACUACCUAAAAUAUUACCUUUAACCGUUUUGGGUACUACAAAUUCUAAUGUUCCCAUUAAAUAUAACUGCCUACUAAAUGCAUAUUAGCCCUUGCAUUGACCUGAGAUGAAAUUUUGAACGUAAUAAUCCAAGGAAUGCCUUCUAGAAGGAGAGGUUGAAGACAGUUUUUUUCUUCCCACGUCUCUGAGCAGUUAUGGUGUGUCCCCCGUAUAUUACCUACCAAGUCCCAACACCCCCCUGCUACCUCAUUUCUCCCAAACUUUUCUCUCAUGGCGUCCUUCUUAUUCUUCCCAAGCUACAAUGGCAUCAAAACCUAAUCAACAAUUUCCAUAUUUUUUCUAUAUCGGAUGAAGACAUCAUGAUGGACUCCAAUUCUACUUACACUGUAGACUCCGGUCAAGAUUUCGCCGCCCUUCUUCUGUCUCCAGAAUAUUCAUUGCCGUCAAUCACGCCGCCGUUAGGGCUAAAUGCGUCGGCCUUUGGGCCGUGCGACUCCAUCUGCCAUUUUUUGUGGCUUUUUGUUAACCCUAAUAGAAGGCACAAGAUAUUAUCUUGAUAAAUUUCUUAGCGCUUAAUAGCCUAUGCCAAUGAUGACUGAAGAGAUGCCAUUGCCAUCUCCCAACACACCCCAGGCUUUCAGUUUCUUAAUAAAGAUGUGGAACCAGGCUCCAAGUCUGAUUCUUCUUCAUGGUCAUCUUUGUUUGAUUCAGAUGAAGAAUCGGACAUGGUAUCAAAUAUUGCAGAGAACAUGAGCAACUGGAGUCACUUUCAUGGGUUUUAAUAUUACUAAUAUAAUUGUUGUAAUGUGCUCAUGACAAAAUGUCCAAGGCACUUAUGAGUCACUCCUGGCGCUGAAAGUAUUCUUGGAAAUAUGAAAAGGGUUGACAAUAACAUGUACCAUGAGACAUUACACUGUAUGUUUGUUGUUAUUGUUUGCCCCACCAUUAAAAGAUACAAUUGCAAAAAUUCAUGUGUUGGAACCUAAUUCGUUGGGGGAAGCUACUUGAAGCCAUUAACACAAGGUCCUGCACGUGUCCUGUUGAGGGUGGUGUAAAUCGAAGCGAUUGGUGUUGAAAGUAAAAAGUUAUGUCUUCCUCCAGUCAAACAAGAUGAAUUUGAAGAUUGUAUAAAUUAAAAAUGAGCUUUGGGUGACCUUCAAUCCUUCAUCCUAUUUGAGCAAGGAGUGUAUUAUACUUUGGAUCAUUGGGAACAAAUUUUAGGGGUUUGCUCAUGUCGUUGGCUGGGAAGUCUGGUAUUGAAUUCCAAGAGUUUGUUGAGGUGUCAAACCCUCUUCAAUAGAUGGGUUGGAAAUCUAGAAAUUUUACGUUUGAUUCAGAUGAUCUUGGUGAACAUAAGGAAGAGUUAAGUUUAAGGGAUUGAUAUGUUUGGACAUAAGGAAGAGCUACCAGGAACGGAUAUGGAAAUUGGCGAUUCCCCAUAACUACAAAGAGAGAUGCAGAGAGUCUGGACUACAAAAAACUGCUUGAUAUGAGUUUCUCACCUCUUAAAUUUUGUCGAGUUGGGUUGUAUUUGAUCUUAAAAGUGUCAAUUAAACAAAUUAGCCUAAACGUAUCAAGUAAAAGAAAAGCUCAAAUGAGUUGAAAGUGAAACUAUUUUUUAAUGUAUAGUUGCAUACAACCUCUUUAAACAAUUUUUUUUGAAGAUUGAUGUUGUAUUAUUUCAAUACAAUUUAUUUAAUCA